rnacentral:rRNA from 1 species
GACGAACGCUGGCGGCGUGCCUAAUACAUGCAAGUUGAGCGCUGAAGGUUGGUACUUGUACCGACUGGAUGAGCAGCGAACGGGUGAGUAACGCGUGGGGAAUCUGCCUUUGAGCGGGGGACAACAUUUGGAAACGAAUGCUAAUACCGCAUAAAAACUUUAAACACAAGUUUUAAGUUUGAAAGAUGCAAUUGCAUCACUCAAAGAUGAUCCCGCGUUGUAUUAGCUAGUUGGUGAGGUAAAGGCUCACCAAGGCGAUGAUACAUAGCCGACCUAGGAGGGUGAUCGGCCACAUUGGGACUGAGACACGGCCCAAACUCCUACGGGAGGCAGCAGUAGGGAAUCUUCGGCAAUGGACGAAAGUCUGACCGAGCAACGCCGCGUGAGUGAAGAAGGUUUUCGGAUCGUAAAACUCUGUUGGUAGAGAAGAACGUUGGUGAGAGUGGAAAGCUCAUCAAGUGACGGUAACUACCCAGAAAGGGACGGCUAACUACGUGCCAGCAGCCGCCGUAA